ensembl:snRNA U6 U6 spliceosomal RNA
GUGCUCACUUUGGCAGCACAUAUGCUAAAAUUGGAACAAUACAGAGAAGAUUAGCAUGGCCCUUGCACAAGGAUGACACACAAAUUUGUGAAGCAUUUCAUAUUUUU